rnacentral:rRNA from 1 species
GAUGAACGCUGGCGGCGUGCUUAACACAUGCAAGUCGGACGAGAAAUGGAGACGGAAACCUUCGGGCGGAAGGCUUCAUUUCGAGUGGCGGACGGGUGAGUAACGCGUGGGUAACCUGCCUCAUACAGGGGGAUAACAGUUGGAAACGACUGUUAAUACCGCAUAAGACCACAGCACCGCAUGGUGCGGGGGUAAAAACUCCGGUGGUAUGAGAUGGACCCGCGUUCGAUUAGCCAGUUGGCGGGGUAACGGCCCACCAAAGCGACGAUCGAUAGCCGAUCUGAGAGGAUGACCGGCCACAUUGGGACUGAGACACGGCCCAAACUCCUACGGGAGGCAGCAGUGGGGAAUAUUGCACAAUGGGGGAAACCCUGAUGCAGCGACGCCGCGUGAGUGAAGAAGUACUUCGGUAUGUAAAGCUCUAUCAGCAGGGAAGAAAAUGACGGUACCUGAGUAAGAAGCCCCGGCUAACUACGUG